GAGUUUCCAGCGCGUGAAGCAAACAGUUAAGCAAUUUGGAAGAGAACCGCUUUUGUUUUGUUGUAGCAAAAACCAUACACGUCUCAGUUAAACUAAUAUUCAAAGUUAACGACGGAGAAAUUGAAGAUGCCACCGUCGAAACAAAGCACUUCGUCUCAGGUUUCGUAGUUGUCUUUGGGGGACCCUGAUACAAGUCGUCUACUGACCAAGCCUACCUGCUGAAUGACAGGAGCAGGAAGCACUGUACCCUGGAGGCGGGGCCGCCUCCUGGCUGAUGCGGGACGCCCGGCCCUCGUCCCCCGCGGCUGCUGUUACCGCCUGUCCACCCGCGUGAGCCUCGUCCCGGAGACGGGUCCGUCCUGCCGAAGAGGGCCACUCCAAGUAAAAAAUAACCUAGAUAACGUGCUGCAGUGAGUGAAGAGAAGGGCUGUGUAAUGUGCUUUGAAACCCAAGUGUGUGCGCGCACAUGUAAGGACGUGCAUUUACACACACACAUGCUCAGAUGCACGUGCACCUGCAAGCACAAGACUCAAGAAUGCGCAUGGACACACCACAUACACGUAAACACAGAAAUACACACAUGUACA